UGGAAAAUGGCUGAAUACAAAUGUGGUAUGAAAUAUAGUCCUCAUACCAAGAUGAAAGUCAUGAAGCACAACAAAUUAGUCUCUGGAUCAGGAGCUGUUUCAAAGCAGCACUAAACAAAUUAAAUGCUUAAAUGUGGGAACAGGAAGCCUUGUCAAGAUAUAGAUCAAUAAAAAAGAAUAAAGCAGAAUACCUGGGCUUGUUAUGGGUCUCAAGUUGGGCUCCAGCAGAUGAGGCCCGAAUUUUCCUGCCUAGCGGCAUAUCUGGAGAGAUCUGAGAGAGUGUCUUGUCUUCUUGGCUUGGCUUUCGUUCUCCUUAGAGGCUGCUUUCUUGUUUUGCUGCAUGAGCUAUGGCUGCGUACAGAUCUCCCUGAGCUUAGAGACACAGCACACCUGAGUCUCAGCUUACCAAUACCCCUCGCUGCUACACCAUGCAGCUUAUUGCACCCAUAGUGAGAGUUGUUCCCCAGAAGCUCAAGUUUCAGUUUGGGUGGGUGGUAGUUAUGUCUUAUUUCAGUCUAGGUAUAGUAGUGGACAGCAUGGCUGCGGUUACAAGGUGCAAAGGUCGCAUGGUUUUUCAUAAUUCCUGUGAUUUAGACAGAACAUAAAAAGUUGUUAUAACAUGACAUAUAAUAAUCUUUGGAAUCACAAGACCUUGAUAUUAAAUAAGAUUCAAAUGGCUUUGAAAUGUAUAAACAAUUGUCUGUGCAAUAAUUCCUAAAAUUCACCUUGAGGUAAUCCAAGAAAGUCAGUCCUGUAGGUCGACCUGUACUGGGCACUUACAGCCUUUUAGAUUUCCUUCUCAGUCAAAGGGAGCUGAAGAGGGGAACUACCACUAAAACAUUUCAUUUGAUCUGCAGAAUGCCUCCAUACCAUGAACGCCUUUGUGUUAAAAGAAAGAACAAGUAUGGUACAUUAUAACCAUCAUUUACUCAACCAUAUGUUUUUCCAAACCUUAUUUUUCCCUAGUGAUUUUUGAAUCUUAACAGUCCCAGUACACACACUCAUACACACUUUCAAAUAAUACAUCAACAAGCCAUCAAACACAGCAAAUUACAAAAUGUGCUGUUUACCUGGCUUGGGUGUGGAUUGUACCUUCGGUUUCCUGAUGCUGUGGCAGACCUUAUGCAAGCUGUCUUUGACACAGGCUUCCAGCAGAAAUCUUCACUGUAUGUAGUUGCUUCCACCGAAUCAUCCAGUGCAAAUGAAUUUCUAUAGAUAUUGCCAGAUUUUUUUGGCCUUGUGUUUGAAACAAGUAAAAAUUUAGAUGAAUCCUACCUCUGACAUUUGCAUCACAUUUCUUUAUAAAAAAAAAAAUAAUAAUAAAAUCUCACCUUAGAACUGGAAGACAUGAGAUGGAUCUAUAGAUUAAAUCUCUUUUAUGAGAGGUCUCAUAUGCUUCCCAUCUUUUGUUAACAUCCAGAUCAAAACGUACACAAUAAACUUUCUAACCAUGAUUUGCCAUGGUUGACUUGACAGAUAGGAAAUGAUCUGCCUCUGCUACUGCUGUCCAAACGACAAUAAAGUGUACAGGAUCUGCUUAUCUGAUGUUUCACGUGCUGUUCACUGGGAGCUCCGUCGUUUUACAGAUCAAUGCGUUGAGUGCAAGAGAAUCUGACUGCUUGCUAGAAAUUUUGCAAUAAAUUUAAAAGAAAAAAAUGCACAAAAUCUGAAUAUAUUAGUCCUUGAGAUCUGUAUAUUUUCUCACGCUUUUUUCUUGGUUAAAAGAGCUAAAAGAGUCGUCGUUAACGUUAAAGAAACAGAAAAAAGCAGCACAAUUCUUCAAGAUUUC
ensembl:lncRNA